GCUCCCAUGGGGUAGUGGUCACUGCGCUCGCCUUGCACGCGGGAGACCCGGGUUCGAUUCCCGGCGGAGUCA
rfam:Asian citrus Psyllid, Diaphorina citri - Florida Strain, whole genome shotgun sequence.